UGCGGGUACCCGCAUUACAAGGAUGUGGUGAACCUAGUCAGAUCCGGAAGGAAGCAGCCAUAACCACUUAUUGCAAGUGCCGGGGUAGGCCCGCCUCC
rnacentral:SRP_RNA from 1 species